rnacentral:tRNA from 1 species
GGGUCCAUAGUUUCAAUGGUAAAACAUCGCACUCCAAACGCGAGGUUCUAGGUUCGAGUCCUAGUGGGCCCGCCA